rnacentral:rRNA from 1 species
AGAGUUUGAUCAUGGCUCAGAUUGAACGCUGGCGGCAGGCCUAACACAUGCAAGUCGAGCGGAUGACAGGAGCUUGCUCCUGAAUUCAGCGGCGGACGGGUGAGUAAUGCCUAGGAAUCUGCCUGGUAGUGGGGGACAACGUUUCGAAAGGAACGCUAAUACCGCAUACGUCCUACGGGAGAAAGUGGGGGAUCUUCGGACCUCACGCUAUCAGAUGAGCCUAGGUCGGAUUAGCUAGUUGGUGAGGUAAUGGCUCACCAAGGCGACGAUCCGUAACUGGUCUGAGAGGAUGAUCAGUCACACUGGAACUGAGACACGGUCCAGACUCCUACGGGAGGCAGCAGUGGGGAAUAUUGGACAAUGGGCGAAAGCCUGAUCCAGCCAUGCCGCGUGUGUGAAGAAGGUCUUCGGAUUGUAAAGCACUUUAAGUUGGGAGGAAGGGUUGUAGAUUAAUACUCUGCAAUUUUGACGUUACCGACAGAAUAAGCACCGGCUAACUCUGUGCCAGCAGCCGCGGUAAUAC